rnacentral:tRNA from 2 species
GGAGGGUUCGCAUAGCGGUCUAGUGCGCUUGCUUGGAAAGCAAGUUUCUCCGAAAGGGGAUCACAGGUUCAAAUCCUGUACCCUCCGCCA